UGCAGUCGAACGAGUUCUGAUUAUUGAAAGGUGCUUGCAUCUUGAUUUAAUUUUGAACGAGUGGCGGACGGGUGAGUAACACGUGGGUAACCUGCCCUUAAGUGGGGGAUAACAUUUGGAAACAGAUGCUAAUACCGCAUAAAUCCAAGAACCGCAUGGUUCUUGGCUGAAAGAUGGCGUAAGCUAUCGCUUUUGGAUGGACCCGCGGCGUAUUAGCUAGUUGGUGAGGUAACGGCUCACCAAGGCAAUGAUACGUAGCCGAACUGAGAGGUUGAUCGGCCACAUUGGGACUGAGACACGGCCCAAACUCCUACGGGAGGCAGCAGUAGGGAAUCUUCCACAAUGGACGCAAGUCUGAUGGAGCAACGCCGCGUGAGUGAAGAAGGCUUUCGGGUCGUAAAACUCUGUUGUUGGAGAAGAAUGGUCGGCAGAGUAACUGUUGUCGGCGUGACGGUAUCCAACCAGAAAGCCACGGCUAACUACGUGCCAGCAGCCGCGGUAAUACGUAGGUGGCAAGCGUUAUCCGGAUUUAUUGGGCGUAAAGCGAGCGCAGGCGGUUUUUUAAGUCUGAUGUGAAAGCCCUCGGCUUAACCGAGGAAGUGCAUCGGAAACUGGGAAACUUGAGUGCAGAAGAGGACAGUGGAACUCCAUGUGUAGCGGUGAAAUGCGUAGAUAUAUGGAAGAACACCAGUGGCGAAGGCGGCUGUCUGGUCUGUAACUGACGCUGAGGCUCGAAAGCAUGGGUAGCGAACAGGAUUAGAUACCCUGGUAGUCCAUGCCGUAAACGAUGAAUGCUAGGUGUUGGAGGGUUUCCGCCCUUCAGUGCCGCAGCUAACGCAUUAAGCAUUCCGCCUGGGGAGUACGACCGCAAGGUUGAAACUCAAAGGAAUUGACGGGGGCCCGCACAAGCGGUGGAGCAUGUGGUUUAAUUCGAAGCAACGCGAAGAACCUUACCAGGUCUUGACAUCUUUUGAUCACCUGAAAGAUCAGGUUUCCCCUUCGGGGGCAAAAUGACAGGUGGUGCAUGGUUGUCGUCAGCUCGUGUCGUGAGAUGUUGGGUUAAGUCCCGCAACGAGCGCAACCCUUAUGACUAGUUGCCAGCAUUUAGUUGGGCACUCUAGUAAGACUGCCGGUGACAAACCGGAGGAAGGUGGGGAUGACGUCAAAUCAUCAUGCCCCUUAUGACCUGGGCUACACACGUGCUACAAUGGAUGGUACAACGAGUUGCGAGACCGCGAGGUCAAGCUAAUCUCUUAAAGCCAUUCUCAGUUCGGACUGUAGGCUGCAACUCGCCUACACGAAGUCGGAAUCGCUAGUAAUCGCGGAUCAGCACGCCGCGGUGAAUACGUUCCCGGGCCUUGUACACACCGCCCGUCACACCAUGAGAGUUUGUAACACCCGAAGCCGGUGGCGUAACCCUUUUAGGGAGCGAG
rnacentral:rRNA from 2 species